AUCUGAGACAGGUGGUGCAUGGUUGUCGUCAGCUCGUGUCGUGAGAUGUUGGGUCAAGUCCCGCAACGAGCGCAACCCUUGUCCAUAGUAGCCAGCAGUAAGAUGGGCACUCUAUGGAGACUGCCAGGGAUAACCUGGAGGAAGGUGGGGAUGACGUCAAAUCAUCAUGCCCCUUAUGAUCUGGGCCACACACGUGCUACAAUGUCGUAACAAAGGGAAGCAACCCUGCGAAGGUGAGCAAAUCCCAAAAAUAACGACCCAGUUCGGACUGUAGGCUGCAACCCGCCUGCACGAAGCUGGAAUCGCUAGUAAUCGCAGAUCAGAAUGCUGCGGUGAAUACGUUCCCGGGUCUUGUACACACCGCCCGUCACACCAUGGGAGUCGGAAAUGCCCAAAGUCAGUGGCCUAACCGUAAGGAGGGAGCUGCCUAAGGCAGGUCGGAUAACUGGGGUGAAGUCGUAACAAGGUAGCCGUAGGAGAACCUGCGGCUGGAUCACCUCCUUUCUAAGG
rnacentral:rRNA from 1 species